rnacentral:rRNA from 1 species
UCUAAAUGUAUUAUUAAAAACUAAAUUAGUAUUAGUUAUGUUCUUGAAAAUUAAAGAUUUUGGCGGUAUUUUAGUCUAUUCAGAGGAACCUGUUCUAUAAUUGAUAGUCCACGAUUUAAUUUACUUUUUUUAUUAGUUUACAUAUCAUCGUAAUUUGAAUAUUUUAUAAGAAUUUUAAUAUUCAAAAUUUACUAUAAUAAAAUAAAUCAGAUCAAGGUGUAGUUUAUAAAAAAGAAGAAAUGGGUUACAAUAAAAAAAAUUUAGGAUUAUUAUUUUUAAAAUAAUAUGAAUUUGGAUUUGAAAGUAAUUUUAAUUAAUUAAUUAAUUUGAUUUUAGCUCUAAAAUAUGC